rnacentral:miRNA from 1 species
UUCUUAUAUGUUAGAUCAAAGAGC